GGGCUCAUGGCCUAAUGGUAAGGCGUUAGAUUUCGGUUCCUAUCCCACGGCACACAGUCCUCUAAAGAUUGCAGGUUCGAUCCCUGCUGAGCUCG